UACGUAGGGGGCUAGCGUUGUCCGGAAUCAUUGGGCGUAAAGAGCGUGUAGGCGGCUCGGUAAGUCCGCUGUGAAAGUCCAGGGCUCAACCCUGGAAUGCCGGUGGAAACUCCCGAGCUAGAGUCCGGAAGAGGUGAGUGGAAUUCCUGGUGUAGCGGUGAAAUGCGCAGAUAUCAGGAGGAACACCAAUGGCGAAGGCAGCUCACUGGGACGGUACUGACGCUGAGACGCGAAAGCGUGGGGAGCGAACAGG
rnacentral:rRNA from 1 species